CCAGGCCGACGACACGGGCUCUUUCACCACUACGAGGAAAAAGAAGGCGAGAGGCAUCGGCGUAACUCCGAACGCCACUCUCCAGGAGCAGCAGCAGCAGCAGCACGCCGCCCAUAUGCACACCUUCUCUGCUCAGCGCAGCCGCACGCCAUACCUCGUAAUUCGUUUUGACUCGACAGAGGUGAAGGACGUACGCGCUGCUGCUCGCCGUCAGCCACUCCCCGCCACAACCGAGGGAGGAAGAGGCGUAGUAGGUUGAAUCACUCUUCUACUUCGCUCUUGUAUCUCUCUCGCUUUAGCCCAACGCUUUCCUCCCCUCCCCCUUUCAGUGGCGUAGGACGUGCUCCACGGAUAUCUCUGUCCACAAAUCACGAUUGCGGAUACCUUCUGUUUUCACUCAUAGAUGUGCAGAUACCCACCGGCGCGCACGUGCGAUUCCAUCUGCCACCGCUGUCGCUACGUGCGUCUCUUAUAUCGUAGCAUCAGUGAGCGUUUUCGUCGACAAGCAUGCAACCGCCGCCGUCGUUGUCACUGCAGCGGGGCGACAGUCCACAGAAAACGGUGUGCACACAGCAUGCUCAUGAUGCCGCUUCGGCUGUGGCUGCGGGUCAUCGAGGCGCGUCAUCGCUACAUGUAGCGCGAGCAAUGGAGGCAGCCGAAACAGCUACGCCGUCGACAUCGCGGGUGCUAGCAGAGCCUUCUCGACCUCUAGGGCAGAAGCGACAGGCACCGGCAGCCUGCCAGCGUCUUCAGCGACGCCGCGGCAUGGACACGUUGCCUGCGAUUGGCCGCCUUGAGGCUGCGCGCUGUGUGACCAACAGGGACUGGCUUCAUCCCUUACGUGCCCUGCAGCGGCAACGGCAGACGGCUGCAGAGGCGUACAUCCCCUAUACCAUCGCUGUGGCAGAGGCCGAGAACCCCCAGCGAGCUCGACUUGCGCUCGCCACCAUGCCAUUGGACUGGGAUUGCUUUAAAACGAAAUGCGCAGACGACCUCAGCGUUCCGUGGCCGUCCUCUGCCAAGGCGUACCGAGAUGUCGACGCGGUGAUACCCGCGCAGAAACGUCUCUCUAAUGUUGACUGCAUUCGCCGGUCGUCUUUCGUCGCCACAGAACCACCGCCGCGACGGCUCCUCAUUCAUGAGCCUCGAUCGAGAUCCUGUCAGGGUGGCGGUUCUUAUUUUUCAGCUGCAUACUCCACCACCUCGCGUUGCGGCGCUAGCGUGCACACGGGCACCAAGGAUGAAAUGGCUGAUACGCUGGCUGUAAAGGUCGAUGCGGUGACUCCGACGCGGGAAAGCCCGGCACACAUGCCGGCGUUACCGGCGCUGGAGAGCGCUGCAGACUCAGAUGAGCACCUAAGCUGCAUCUCUCGGCAGUAUGCACGACUCGACCGUUUGCUCAGAGGCUACAGCACCCCAGACCACCACAAAAUCGUUCCUUCCCGCGUGGUGCCUAACGAAACACCUGCGGCGCUGUCACCAGAGCUAGCGCCGCCUUGCCUCUACCCUCAACCGCCCCCCUCCACCAGCGUCGUGAGCCUCGUCGUACAGCCGUCCAUUCAGCUUUCGCGGCGUUCCUCUCUCUCCCUCGGGGCCCCAUUCAGCUCCUUUCAUAUCACGCCCGAAGCGCAGCUCACGCGCCUUUCGGUCACGCAGGUGCAAGGACUGCCCUCCUUCGCUUCUCUGACUGCCGCCACGUCUGGUGCAGUCACGACACCAGUGGGCGGCGCAAACAACACCCUCCGCCACUUCCGCGCAGGAAACCGACUGCCGCAGCACCCCCGCCGCCGGCAUAGCGCAAGUUCUCAAGACCUCUCGAACAGCCACUCUCGACACCACCGCCCCUCCACCACAAGGCCUCCAUAUACCGGCGGACAUGCCGCACGCUUUCGGUGUCAUUGUGCUUGCGUCACGGAGGGGCACUUUCACAACCUCCACCACCAUGAGCAGCAGCAGCGCGCACACGUCGCUGCAGAUGCCGACCGCGCCCUCAGCACCCUACGCGCCUUGCACAACAAGUACUCCCAGUAUUUGCAAGUGACCCGUGGCCAGCCACACAACUGCACAGCAGCCGCUGAACUACAAGAAGCAUCGCGCCUCUUUCCUCUUUAUCCGUCCGUAAACCUGAAAAACCGACACACAGACCAGCAUCACCGCCGCGAGUCGAGCAAUUUCUCCUACACACAACACAGGAAAAAGCCCGAGAGCAGCGCAAACGCAACCACUCCGCAGGAGGCGUACGAGGGCGUGGGGGAGGCUGACCGCGCUGCCGCUCCGCAGGAGGCGUACGAGGGCGUGGGGGAGGCUGACCGCGCUGCCGCUCCGCAGGAGGCGUACGAGGGCGUGGGGGAGGCUGACCGCGCUGCCGCUCCGCAGGAGGCGUACGAGGGCGUGGGGGAGGCUGACCGCGCUGCCGCUCCGCAGGAGGCGUACGAGGGCGUGGGGGAGGCUGACCGCGCUGCCGCUCCGCAGGAGGCGUACGAGGGCGUGGGGGGAGGCUGACCGCGCUGCCGCUCCGCAGGAGGCGUACGAGGGCGUGGGGGGAGGCUGACCGCGCUGCCGCUCCGCAGGAGGCGUACGAGGGCGUGGGGGAGGCUGACCGCGCUGCCGCUCCGCAGGAGGCGUACGAGGGCGUGGAGGGGGCUGACCGCGCUGCCGCUCCGCAGGAGGCGUACGAGGAGCUUGAUUUCAGUGGUGUUUUGUUUGCUGGCCGCGGUGUGCAGAUUCGGUAUGAUUGUGGUGUGGUGAGGAUCCCCGAUUCGGAUGGGAUUGUGGGAAGCGGACGGAAUCUCGACGAUGCAGAUGUGAGACGGGGCUACCGCUGCGGGGCGCCGGAGGCGAGGUGGGAUGCUUGCGGCAAUGUUGCGGACGUGUGUGCUUGGUUUCGGGAUUUAACGGUUGAUCCGGGCACGGAGGAGAGUGGCGUAGGGGAGGUUUUCACGGAGGCUUGCGGAUUGCGGCGUGCAGUGGUUACGUGUAUUGAGCACCUGUUGAGGGGUCCCAACUGGCGUGAGCACUUGGUGUCGUGUGCUGCAAGGAUACGCGAGCUGGUGAUUGCGGAUGUGAGCGCUAUGCUGGAUUGUUCUGCGGCAUGUGUUCGCAAUGUUCGGCUUUACGCCGCUGGUGCUGCAGCAGCUGCUGGUGAGGCGGCUGCACUUGGCAGAAUGGAGGAUGACAUACUGCGCAUUGAACUGGACGUUAUUCAAGAGGCCGCAGUGGCACUGCACCCGCUAGGCGGGGUGCAGUUCCUGCUAGAUGGCUGCAGUUUUCCUUAUCUUCAACAAUGGCGGCGUAGUCGCGACGAGUUGAAGUGCAUGGGUGGGGGUGUGGCGCACGGGGCGCUUUCUUCGCUUUCGAAAGUGGCGGCGCUAUCCACCAACGUGGAAGGCGACGAGAGGAGUGGCGGGGCGCAGGGGGUUGAGCUGCAGCUGUGGGCGUACGCCACCAAGGGUGCGGCGGCAAGAUCCAGGGGGCGUUCUGUUGUGAAACGACUCCUAUUGCCAUUAGCGCGUGUGGUUUACCGGCCGGAGCGGCGAAACUGUAGCGAGAGCAGCCUUGGCUCACUCACCCAUGUAGAGCAGCAGACGGCUCUUUCUGAUCCCACAUACGGUGCCUCAUCAUGCAGGUUGGUGGAAUCGGCCCUGCGGCGGGAGGUCCACACGUGCAAACUCCCUGCGUCCGGGCAAGCCCCACCAGGACCAUUGCCGACACAGCCGGUGCGAUCGAUGCCUUUGCAGAUGGCGACACCGUCCGGUAUUGAGGAAAUCAUAAAGCAGGAGAAGGAGAAGGCGUGCAACUUGACAGCCAUCCGUCCCGUUGCUACCCUGCUUACAGUGCCUGCAGAGACACUCGCGAUGACGUCGCAGCCCACUGAGAUGGCGGGCUUGCCGAAGGAGGAAGCGCACAAGGCAAGCCCAAGGGGUUUUUUUUCUUGGAAGCGUAAGUACACGUGAAGCCCGCCUACCUGCCCCUCCUCAGUUUUCGAUGUUGUUUGUACGUCUGCAUCGUCAUGUUGGAUCGGACGGUGUGCAGAGGCGCUGAAAGAGGCAGAGGUGAAGAGAGCAUAGCGUUGCACUGCUGCUGAAACACUGCCAGAGAAGUGAUUGCUGUGCGUGGCUUGUGAUUGAGCGCGUGAUAUGGAUAAAGACUGUGUGUGUGUAGACAUUACUCACCAGUCUCUUCUCCCCUCCCCAUUCCAUGAGCUCCCACCUUUCUCAUUCCAUAUCCCUUCGUGGCCCAGCGGCGAUCGCUCUUGCGUUUCUUAAGGGUGUUUCGACAUGCUCCGACUCUCUAUCUCUUCUCUAUCCGUGUGUGCAUGUGCUGGCUCGCUUCUUUUCGUAUAUAUAUAUAUAUAUAUAUUUGUCAUCAACGCACAAAAUAGAGGAAGGGCGUGCGUGCGCUUGCACCUGUGCACGAGUGUGGGUAAGGGCGCUUGCCUCGCCCACACCGACCAUCGCCACCCCACCCCCUCUCUCCUUCCUUGUAUUUUUUUUACUUAUCCCUUCUGUCUGUCGGUUUCUGUGUGUCCGCCUUGUUGUGCACCACUGUGGCUGACACACACGCUUCUCUUUUUUCACCAUACUCAUGCAUGCGCCCGCGUAUAUGCGUGUAUGUGCGUGGGAAGGCUUGUAUGAAGCGAAAACCUUCCCACAUAUUCCCCUCCCCCUUCCGCUGUCUCUCUCUUCACCUGUCCUACGGCAUGGCGUCGUUCUUUUUUUUGUUUACUUUCUGUUGCUUCGUAUGUUUGUGGAUAUGUGUGGGUGCCGCGUAUGACGCCCCCUCUUUCCUCCCCUCCGAAAACACCCACCCACCCACACCCACACACACACACACACACACAGCCCACCUCUCCUCCAUGCCAGCUUGGAUUACAUCGUGUGCGUGUGUUUUGUGUGAGUGAUUUAAUGUAUCGUCUAUGUACAGCUGAGCCCCCCCUCCCCCCAUCCCUGCCCGUCUCUUUCUCUUGAGAGAUACAUGCAUAUAUGCAUUCACAUACAUAUACGUACACGCAGGCAUAGAAGAAAGCCCAAGAGGUACAGGAGAGGGACUAGAGGCUGGACGGCCACCCCCUUCUCCCCUCCUCUUCGUAUGCCUGUAUAUGCCUGUGCGCGCGUGUAUCUUUCUGUGUCGACCUCUGUCGACACUCCCCACCUGUACCGAUGUUUAUAUAUGAGUAUUGGUUUGAUGGUGUUGGCGCGUUCGACGGUGGUGAGGUAUUGGAUGCUCCCCUCUCUCUCCCGCACGCCGUGCAACGUUGAUGAUCAUCUUUCC
rnacentral:misc_RNA from 1 species